ACCCAGCGGAGCCUGGCGAAGGGCUGCAGCCUUCAUGGGCGGCGAGCGGGAUGCAGGCUAGCACGCCUGGGUCCGCGCACACGCGCUGCCCAAAAGACCCCCCGAAGCUGAGCGCGGGCUGGGAGUGCGGCCGGAAGAAGCGGCGCGGCGUCCCUGACAAGGGUCCGGGCUUGCAAGGUAGGGAGUAGGCAGAGGGCCAGGCAAAGUUGAUCGGAGCGAGGAGGUGGUUGGCCCGUGCCCCUCUCGCCUCUGGGAACCGCGGAGCGACUUGGACUUGACCCCGCCGCGCCCCAGGCGCUCUGAGCAGCGCUUAUCUGCCGCCGUGCGCGGGAGCGCACUUGCAAACUUGGUGGAGGUGCCCUGUGCGUCCUGUUGUGUAACCUCCGCGCCGCCAGCUGGACCGGGAAGUUGCCCGCCCGUCCUUCAGCUUGGUUCAGUCGCAGCCCGGGGCAAAUUUCAUGGCCCGCGACGAACGCUCGGCCAGAGGCGGCGUGGGCGAGCCCCCGCGCGCUCCGACCCGUGGGGAGCUCUCCCGCGCGGUCCCUUCCCCUCGCCCGCGCCUCCGAUGCGCGCUGAGCCUCUCGCCGCUGCCGCCUGCUCGCUGCGGUCUGCCCUUCCGAGUUGCUGCCUGAGUUGGAAAGAAGAGGAUGACCGAGGUGCCUUGGCUGACUGUCCCCAACGGGACGGACCCAGCCUUCUUGGCUAGCCUGGGCUCGCCUUGGGGAAACAGCACUGUCGCCGCCACUGCAGCGGUUUCCUCUUCAUUCCGAUGUGCCCUAACCAAGACCGGCUUCCAGUUUUACUACCUGCCGGCCGUCUACAUCUUGGUGUUCAUCAUCGGCUUCCUGGGCAACAGCGUGGCUAUCUGGAUGUUCGUUUUCCACAUGAAGCCUUGGAGUGGCAUCUCCGUGUACAUGUUCAACUUGGCUCUGGCUGACUUUUUGUACGUGCUCACCCUGCCAGCCCUCAUCUUCUACUACUUCAAUAAGACUGACUGGAUCUUCGGGGAUGCUAUGUGCAAGCUGCAGAGGUUCAUCUUCCAUGUGAACCUCUAUGGCAGCAUCUUGUUCCUCACCUGCAUCAGCGCGCACAGGUACAGCGGCGUGGUGUACCCGCUCAAAUCUCUGGGCAGACUCAAGAAGAAGAAUGCCAUUUAUGUCAGCAUGCUGGUGUGGCUCAUUGUAGUGCUGGCCAUCUCCCCCAUUCUCUUCUACUCUGGCACUGGGAUUCGGAAGAACAAAACGGUCACCUGCUAUGACACCACCUCUGAUGAGUACCUGAGAAGUUAUUUCAUCUAUAGUAUGUGCACAACAGUGGCCAUGUUCUGCGUCCCCUUGGUGCUGAUCUUGGGCUGUUAUGGAUUAAUUGUUAGAGCUUUGAUUUACAAAGACCUGGACAACUCUCCUCUCAGAAGGAAAUCCAUUUACCUGGUAAUAAUUGUCCUGACGGUGUUUGCUGUGUCUUACAUCCCUUUCCAUGUGAUGAAAACGAUGAAUUUGCGGGCACGGCUGGAUUUCCAGACCCCAGAAAUGUGUCAUUUCAACGAUAGGGUUUAUGCCACUUAUCAGGUGACAAGGGGUCUGGCGAGCCUCAACAGUUGUGUGGACCCCAUUCUUUAUUUCUUGGCUGGAGAUACGUUCAGAAGGAGGCUGUCCCGAGCGACCAGGAAAGCUUCCAGGAGGAGUGAGGCCAAUUUACAAUCCAAGAGUGAAGAAAUGACUCUCAAUAUUUUAUCUGAGUUCAAGCAGAACGGAGAUACAAGUUUGUGAAGGCACAAGACCCAAGCUCCUCAUUUUUGUAACGUGGUAGGAUGCUCAUAGAACCAGAUGCUUUCCUCCUUAAGUUCCUAAGUCAUGUUUCGGAAUACUCCAAACAGGACAAAAGUAGUGAGUUUAAAGGAGCAUCAGUUCGAUGCACAUGUCCACAUUUAUCUUUCUUUCCUGCAAGCUCCUUUCUUAGUAACUAGAAGUAUGUGUAUUAAAACAGGACUACUAGGUAAACACUGCCUCGCCACCCUUUUAAAUCCACAAGCUUUUCUAGUCAAAGAAACGUGUGUGCAUGUGUAGCAGAACAGUUUUUAUAUUAAAAAUUUCUCCAAGAAAAGUGGCCACCUGGAACUUGAAUUUGUGAUUUGUUCAGCCUCUGCUGCUGUGAAUAACUCUUGGCAUAAACAAACUAAAAUCUAUACUUUCGAAGAUUGUUUGGCAUAGUAUAAUGGCGUGCUGGUCAGUGCAUUCAGUAAUGAGCAAACAGAUGCCUGAGGUACAUGACUUUCAGUUCCUCAUAAGCAUAGAUGGUGGCUUCUGAUGUCUUUGGGGAUUUGAACUGAAAAACAAAAUCAAUGAACUUUUAUGUAAGGAAAAUGAGCAUUUCCAGUUAUUUCUGGGAAACUGAUUUACCCCAGAUCCCUGUGGAUACUCGGCAAGAGUUCAAUCACUGAGAUAGCCACAGCUCCUAAAGUGUUCUUCCUUAGUGUGCUAUAUCAUUAAAUAGACAAUGACAUGUCAACAUAACAAGACUGACUGUGACAACUUCCUCCAAGUCAAAAGAAGUUCCUGAGAUAACCUAUGCAUGCACAGGGCAGGAUGAAGCAACACUCUGUUGGCCAAAAGACCCAAUUUGUGCCACCUGAUAUGAGUAAGCAUUUCCACAGUAAAGACAGAUCUGUUGACAUUUGCGGGAAAGACACCUAAAAUUGUAAGAUUUAGCAAGUCGUUAAAUGUCACACUACAGAAGUCUUUCAUUCCAAGUUCAAGGGUUGUUUUUUGUUAUUUUUUUGUUGUUGUCAUUCCUUACAAAGUACUGUCUUUGACUCUUUGAAGGUUGCUUUGAACUUAUAUUGAAAUAAAAUGAUAAAUUAAGGAGAAAUGGCACACAAGACAGAAUUGAAAAUUAAAACCAUAAUGUGGCCAUUGAGAAGACACUUGAAGCCCAUUCUUCAUGAACAGAAAGGGAAUGGCACAACCAUUUGUGGAUGCCAUAGGUGCUGUGGUAAAUCUUGAAAAGCAGACAGUGAGAAGCAUUUAGAAUCUGCUUCUGUGCUUCUUCAGUCUAGUCCUUUGACAAAAUGCUCAUUUUUCAACCACUGUGCUACGGACAGGCUGAGACCUGUGUAUAUGUGCUUACUCAGCCAGGACACUAGCCCACCUUGAUAUGACAAAUAUCAGUACUGAGCAGCUAGGAUUCAAGAAUGGGAAGACGUGUUACCAGUA